rnacentral:rRNA from 1 species
CACAAGCGGUGGAUGUAUGUGGAUUAAUUCGUAUGCAACGCGAAAACCUUACCUACCUUGACAUGUCCGGAAUCCGAAGAGAUUUGGAGUGCUCGCAAGAGAACCGGAACACAGGUGCUGCAUGGCUGUCGUCAGCUCGUGUCGUGAGAUGUUGGGUUAAGUCCCGCAACGAGCGCAACCCUUGUCAUUAGUUGCCAUCAUUUGGUUGGGCACUCUAAUGAGACUGCCGGUGACAAACCGGAGGAAGGUGGGGAUGACGUCAAGUCCUCAUGGCCCUUAUGGGUAGGGCUUCACACGUCAUACAAUGGUCGGUACAGAGGGUUGCCAACCCGCGAGGGGGAGCUAAUCCCACAAAGCCGAUCGUAGUCCGGAUCGCAGUCUGCAACUCGACUGCGUGAAGUCGGAAUCGCUAGUAAUCGUGGAUCAGCAUGUCACGGUGAAUACGUUCCCGGGUCUU